rnacentral:lncRNA from 1 species
UAGCUGAUUAUAUAGAUGUAUCUGCAAUAGUUACAAUAGGGACUGGGUGCCCCUGAUGUAUUAUAUUUUUGGCUAUACCUUUCUUUUGUAUAUUCUCAACUAUUGAUUGAGACUUUUGCAUAUUGAUGUAAAAUUAUAGAAUUUUUUUUAAAAAUAGAUAAAAAUUAUUUCUUUCUAUUUUCGAUAAAGGUAGAGCAUAUGUAAAAGACUUCAUCGAGAUGAAGGC